rnacentral:rRNA from 1 species
AGUGAACGCUGGCGGUAGGCCUAACACGUGCAAGUCGAACGGCAGCACAGUAAGAGCUUGCUCUUACGGGUGGCGAGUGGCGGACGGGUGAGGAAUACAUCGGAAUCUACUUUUUCGUGGGGGAUAACGUAGGGAAACUUACGCUAAUACCGCAUACGACCUACGGGUGAAAGCAGGGGAUCUUCGGACCUUGCGCGAUUGAAUGAGCCGAUGUCGGAUUAGCUAGUUGGCGGGGUAAAGGCCCACCAAGGCGACGAUCCGUAGCUGGUCUGAGAGGAUGAUCAGCCACACUGGAACUGAGACACGGUCCAGACUCCUACGGGAGGCAGCAGUGGGGAAUAUUGGACAAUGGGCGCAAGCCUGAUCCAGCCAUGCCGCGUGGGUGAAGAAGGCCUUCGGGUUGUAAAGCCCUUUUGUUGGGAAAGAAAAGCAGCAGGUUAAUACCCCGCUGUUCUGACGGUACCCAAAGAAUAAGCACCGGCUAACUUCGUG